rnacentral:lncRNA from 1 species
CAUAACCUGCAGAACAACAUCACUGCCCUGAGCGACAAAAUAACACGGCUGGAAGCCAGAGACUCUGAGCGGGAGGCCAAGGAACAGGGUUUACAAGAUGAAAAUGGCAGGCUCAGAGAGCAGCUCUCCAGCCAGUCCCAGCAGCUGCAGGAUUCCCAGAAAGAAUUCCAGAAGCAAAGGUAGAGACCCGCCAGUCCCAACCCCAUGGGGUUGGGGUGGGGCCCUCCCCCUAGAGCUCUGAGUUAAUGUGCAUUUUCCUUUCACUUGUUCCCCCAGAGAUCAGCUCAACGCUAACAUCCAUUGGCUGAAAAUGGAGCUCCAAAGCCAGAGAAAUCAGCGCUCCAGCACGGACAGCCUCAGCGGUCACAGUGUGUCUCUCUGCCUGGCUCUGCCCCUCCUUGGGACUCUUCUCCUUUAAGAGGAGCAGCUUUGUACAGUUGCCCUCAUCCUAGUGUUCAUCGCCCUGAUUGCCUGCGUGGUCUACAUCUCCUUUGCCCCGACCCAGCUGAGACAGUGCCAGGAGCAGCUGAAGAACGACACCUCCACUCUGAUGGGGAAACUCACCAACCUGGAGGAGAAGAAGGGGGCCUUGGAAAAGCAGUGGGACGGGGCGAGGGCAGAGGUCACGGCGCUGCGGUUGGAGCUGGCCGGCACCAAUCAGACCCUCUGGGAGACGCGUGGGCGCUGGGACUCCUGCAGGAGCCUAACGCAUGUCCUGCAAAACAACAUCACUGCCCUGAAGGAUGAAAUCACCCAGCUGGGAGUGCGAGACACUGAGCAAGGAUGGGGACAAGAUGAAAUAGACAUGCUCAGACAGCAGCUCCAGGAGGCUCAGCAGCACAGUGAUAAACUCCAAGCUGACAUCCGGCAGCUGGAACAGCAGCAGCUCCAGUGCCAGAAGAAUCAGAUCUCUGGUGGGAGCAGCCUCCGGAUCCCCACUGUGGCCGGCUACCUGAGCCCGCUGGCUCUGUCCCUCAUUGAGAUCCUGCUCCUGUGAGAGAAGCAGGGCUGACCAGGCAGCGGGAGAGUGGAGAAUCCUCAUGGGAACAUGCCACACUGCAUAGCACGGCCAGCUCGCCCCCAUCCCCAAAACGGUCACGGGAACUAUUCUAAGUCACUAGCUUGCUCAGCAUUUCCCCUGGGUUCCUGCCCAGUCCAGUCCUUGCAGUCAGCGGAAGGAUCUCGUUGGCGCCUGCCCAGCACUGGAGGAUGAUGGGGAAAUGGUGAAGAAGAUCCAGCGGGUGAAGGGCAUAGGGAGGAUGGAGCCAGUUCACUCAGAGAUUGCCCCAGACGACAGUUGCCGUGAGCAGGGUCAAGCCCCAGCUGGGGUAUUGGCUGCUCCAUUUAUGGUUUCUAUUUUUCUAAUAAAAUGUUGCCAACCCCA